UCCUGUCUGUGGCAUCUUUCCUGCGGAGGAUCUGGAGCUAAAGAUGAUUUCUUACUCUCUGUGAGGAGUUAACCCAGCAAUGGAAAACUUCAUUUUCUAUGAGGAGAUUGGCAGGGGAAAUAAGACAAUUGUCUAUAAAGGGCGGCAUAAGGG